rnacentral:lncRNA from 1 species
GCACAACCUCUCUCAAUAACUCACAGAAGCUCCAAACGAGUCCUUUCCCUUCAUUCUGAGCCUAUUGUCUACCACCAAGCUCAGAGCUUAUUAGGUAGCUUUAAGAUUCAGUGAAGUCUCUUAUUUCUAUAAAUUUGAAGGAUAACUGUUUCAAAGCAUAAAAUACAAGAAAAGUAUACAUUGAAGGACUAGUUAUUGGGAUUUAACAUUCUCAUCAGAGCCCACACUCAUCCUCCAGGUAGACUAAUGGGGCAAUAUAUAGAGAUACUGCAUGUUCACCAAACUCCCAUCUUUUUUUUUUUCUGGACACACAGCUUUAGUACAUUUCCCAAAUGCCCUUGGUGGGGUCCCGUCACUGAGUUCUAACUAAUGGAAAUGAUGUGCAACACUUGCAGGCCUGGUCCCUAAAAUUCAUCUUGCAUAGUCCACAAAGUUCUGUCAUUUUUUUUUUUUUUUUUUUUGAGAUGGAGUCUCACUCUGUCACCGAGGCUGCCGGGCAGUGGCA